CUCAAAGUGGUUGGGGGAUGGGUUGCUCCCCACUUAGGAGGGAAGGGGGAAUAUGAACAGGUGAGUGGCCACAGUGGGGGUGUGACCCGUAGACAGUGGGACCAGCGGGGGCUUCCCAAAUCCUGGGCCCUCAGACUGCAGGAUCAGAAGAGGGAAAAAACCCCAUAGGACCGGCUCAGCUUCCCGAGGCUGGAGGGUGAUGCUGCCCCCUAGUGGCUGAAGUUCACGACCGGACGGACGUUCAAGGAGUCCCGGGCGUUCCAGUGCUUUCUUCCAGGAAGUGGGCUCUGCAGGCUGGAGGUGCCCUAGUGUCAGGGUGAAGGCUGGGAGCCAACGUCUAAUUAUCAAGGUGAUGGAACUCUGAGGGCUGAAGAGGGAUGUUAAGGCACUGAGGGCCAGAGCACUUGUU
rnacentral:lncRNA from 1 species